GUCCUGGGAAGCUGCCCAGCUGGCUUGCCCAGCUAGCUCAGUGUCUGAGGACGCUAAGAGGGACUUUGCAGCUUAGAGAAGACUUGGGCUCUGCCGGAAAGGUCUUCCGACUGGCUGAAGUUCAACAGGGCUCAGUGGCGGCUCUGCAGGCCAAGGCAGGGUUCCUGGCUUUGGGUUGUGCUCAGGGCUCACAUUUCUCUCAUCCUGGGACCAAGACCAGAGGAGGAACAGGUGUUUUUCAGAGGCCC